GGGACAUCUGGUGGAGCAGAAUAGCUCUCUGUCUCAGUAAUUUAAGAGAAACUCAGAUGGAGACCGGUUGCCAUGGAAGCCUGGAUGUUGUCGGGUGCUUUAGGCAUUGAUGCCGUAGACGAAAAUCAUCUGUUGUCGAGACCCGGAUGGAAACUUUCUAUUGGAGAAAUUCGACUGGAGUCCGAUUGCUAGAGAAGUCCAUCUGGAAUUUGUUUGAUGUAAAAGCUAGUUUGAAGACUGUCUGUUAGAGAGGUCCGGUUGC
rnacentral:lncRNA from 1 species